rnacentral:misc_RNA from 1 species
GGAGGGAUCAUUACUGAGUUGCAAAACUCCAACCCGUGUGAACUUUACCUAUCGUUGCUUCGGCGGGCUCGCCCGCCGGAGGACCCAAACUCUCUGAAUUUUUAGUAUCUCUGAGAAAAAAAACAAAAUAAUCAAAACUUUCAACAACGGAUCUCUUGGUUCUGGCAUCGAUGAAGAACGCAGCGAAAUGCGAUAAGUAAUGUGAAUUGCAGAAUUCAGUGAAUCAUCGAAUCUUUGAACGCACAUUGCGCCCGCCGGUAUUCCGGCGGGCAUGCCUGUUCGAGCGUCAUUUCAACCCUCAAGCCCCCCCGGGGCUUGGUGUUGGGGCGUCCGGGUCUACUCGGCCCGGGGCCCCCAAUUUAAUCGGCGGUCUCGCCGGAACGCUGAGCGCAGUACAACGCGGUAAAACGCGCCCUCGCUCGGACCGUUUCGGCGCGCUCUUGCCGCUAAACCCCCCAAAUCUAAAGGUUGACCUCGGAUCAGGUAGGAAUACCCGCUGAACUUAAGCAUAUCAAUAAGCGGAGGAAAAGAAACCAACAGGGAUUGCCCCAGUAACGGCGAGUGAAGCGGCAACAGCUCAAAUUUGAAAUCUGGCCCCCAGGCCCGAGUUGUAAUUUGCAGAGGAUGCUUUUGGUGAGGUCCCUACCGAGUCCCCUGGAAUGGGGCGCCACAGAGGGUGAGAGCCCCGUAUGGUAGGACGCCGAACCUUUGUAAAGCUCCUUCGACGAGUCGAGUAGUUUGGGAAUGCUGCUCUAAACGGGAGGUAAAUUUCUUCUAAAGCUAAAUAUUGGCCAGAGACCGAUAGCGCACAAGUAGAGUGAUCGAAAGAUGAAAAGCACUUUGAAAAGAGGGUUAAAAAGUACGUGAAAUUGUUGAAAGGGAAGCGCUUGUGACCAGACUUGUGCCGGGCGGAUCAUCCAGCGUUCUCGCUGGUGCACUCCGUCCGGCUCAGGCCAGCAUCGGUUUUCGCCGGGGGACAAAGGCUUCGGGAACGUGGCUCCUCUCGAGGAGUGUUAUAGCCCGUUGCGUAAUACCCCGGCGGGGACCGACGACCGCGCUUCGGCAAGGAUGCUGGCGUAAUGGUCAUCAGCGACCCGUCUUGAAACACGGACCGAGGAGUCAAGCAUUAGUGCGAGUGUUUGGGUGUAAAACCCGCACGCGUAAUGAAAGUAAACGUAGGUGAGAGCUUCGGCGCAUCAUCGACCGAUCCUGAUGUUUUCGGAUGGAUUUGAGUAGGAGCAUUAACGCUUGGACCCGAAAGAUGGUGAACUAUACUUGAAUAGGGUGAAGCCAGAGGAAACUCUGGUGGAGGCUCGCAGCGGUUCUGACGUGCAAAUCGAUCGUCAAAUUUGAGUAUAGGGGCGAAAGACUAAUCGAACCAUCUAGUAGCUGGUUUCAGC